GGGCCCGCACAAGCGGUGGAGUAUGUGGUUUAAUUCGAUGCAACGCGAAGAACCUUACCAGGGCUUAAAUGCAGAGUGACAGGACUGGAAACAGUUUUUUCUUCGGACACUCUACAAGGUGCUGCAUGGUUGUCGUCAGCUCGUGCUGUGAAGUGUCGGGUUAAGUCCCAUAACGAGCGCAACCCCUAUCUUCAGUUGCCAGCGGGUAAUGCCGGGGACUCUGGAGAAACUGCCAGCGCAAGCUGUGAGGAAGGUGGGGAUGACGUCAAAUCAUCACGGCCCUUACGUCCUGGGCUACACACGUGCUACAAUGGUAAGUACAGAGGGCAGCCACCUGGUGACAGGGAGCGAAUCCUAAAACCCUAUCUCAGUUCGGAUCGAAGUCUGCAACUCGACUUCGUGAAGCUGGAAUCGCUAGUAAUCGCGCAU
rnacentral:rRNA from 1 species